UGUGGAGAAAGAUGGGGUUUUCAUAAACACAAAUCUUCAAAAGGAGCAUAUCUCUUGCUACACACUGUGGGUGUAUAGGAGUGGUCUGAUCGCAAAGCCCAGUGUUACUGAAAGCUUUCAAACGUGCCUUAACAUUUGGCGCCUCCACAGCAAUGUGCGAGAAUUCAUUCUCCACUCAAGCACAAUACUCCACAAUAGAAAAGCUCUGUUGGUUCAGCGAGCGCUUGAGAGGGACUUAACCCGCAAAUGCACAUGGGAGAGGGAGGACACCAUUCUUCAGGUUCAGCACCAACACUCUCUGCUUGCUACUCUUCUAAAGGAGUCAUGUUUCUGUCCACCUGAAGACUAUAAGUCCAAUAUUCACUCUUUUAGCUCUGUUUUUGGUCUCCACCAUAUCCCGAGGGUCAGUGGCCAACUCUACCUGAGCAGGUAGUGUACAGAGCAUUUAGAGCCCCAAAGUAACAUUAUGAGAGCUGCUGAGAUCUGCUGCAAUGAGGUGAUAACUCUCUCAGGUAUGCAUUCAUCACCACAGGGGACUCCUUUCACAUGCCAUUAGUCAUGUGAUCCAUUGCUAAUAUAAAAAUAUUGAUUAUACUGCUAAGGAUUAGCUUUUAUGCAUGAACGUAAUGGUGGAUAUGUUAAUUUUACUAGUAACUCCGGUAGCCAGUUCUUGCUGAAAUCUCCAAAGCAGACACAGGCAGCAAAUCAACACAAGAGCCUGAAAAUAAACUCAAAUAGAGUGAUAA